rnacentral:rRNA from 1 species
CCUACGGGAGGCAGCAGUGGGGAAUAUUGGACAAUGGGCGCAAGCCUGAUCCAGCAAUACCGCGUGUGUGAAGAAGGCCUUCGGGUUGUAAAGCACUUUUAUGUAGGAAGAAGUGUUGUGUGUUAAUAGCACAUGGCAUUGACGGUACUACAAGAAUAAGCACCGGCUAACUCCGUGCCAGCAGCCGCGGUAAU